UAAUACGUAGGGACCAAGCGUUGUUCGGAUUUACUGGGCGUAAAGGGCGCGUAGGCGGCAAUUCAAGUCAGUUGUGAAAUCUCCGAGCUUAACUCGGAACGGUCAACUGAUACUGCUUUGCUAGAGUACAGAAGGGGCAAUCGGAAUUCUUGGUGUAGCGGUGAAAUGCGUAGAUAUCAAGAGGAACACCUGAGGUGAAGACGGGUUGCUGGGCUGAUACUGACGCUGAGGCGCGAAAGCUAGGGUAGCAAACGGGAUUAGAUACCCCGGUAGUCCUAGCCCUAAACGAUGAAUACUUGGUGUCUGGAGUUUUUAUUCUCCGGGUGCCGUCGCUAACGUUUUUAGUAUUCCGCCUGGGGAGUACGCUCGCAAGAGUG
rnacentral:rRNA from 1 species